UGAACAUUCAUUUUCAUAUUAUUCAGAAUUUCUAGGUCUGGUUUAUUUAUCAGUGAAUGAUAUUUGACUAAUCCUAUCCCAUUCUACUUCCUUCAAGAUACUCUUUUCUAACAUUUCCCAGAAAACAAUAGAUUUUGGAAUAUUAAACAAGAUUACCGCUAUAUGUGUGGCAUUCUUUAUUGAGUAGAUUGCUCAACAGAUAAAUUCUUUUUCCCUUUCUGUGAUUCAGGUGUUUCUGAU
rnacentral:lncRNA from 1 species